rnacentral:lncRNA from 1 species
UCCUUUUAUAACAUCAAAUCCACAAUCCUUUUUUCAAGUCAUCCAAUAUAUCAAAAAAUGAGAUGAAAUCAACAUCAAAAUUAGGUUUCUCCAUGAACCUACCAUUUUCAUAUAUUCUAUUUGGUGAAAAUAUAAAAUGACCUUCAUAAUGAUACCUCAUUGUCUUCUGACUAGUAUUCCCUAAAAAAAAAAAUUAAAGUUAGCCAUAUAAUUAUUUAUGAAAACAACUUAAAAUUUAUAAAUCACAUAAAUAUUAUUUACCUUGAAAAUUUGAAGCCUGAUUUUGGUAUAACUCUUGAGUUUCUUGAAAGUUCUGGUUAACAUUAUUUUCAGUCUCAUUUUCCA